rnacentral:rRNA from 1 species
UACGGGGGGGGCAAGCGUUGUUCGGAAUUACUGGGCGUAAAGGGCUCGUAGGUGGCCAACUAAGUCAGACGUGAAAUCCCUCAGCUUAACUGGGGAACUGCGUCUGAUACUGGAUGGCUUGAGUUUGGGAGAGGGAUGCGGAAUUCCAGGUGUAGCGGUGAAAUGCGUAGAUAUCUGGAGGAACACCGGUGGCGAAGGCGGCAUCCUGGACCAACACUGACACUGAGGAGCGAAAGCGUGGGGAGCGAACAGG